GACGAACGCUGGCGGCGUGCUUAACACAUGCAAGUCGAACGGAAAGGCCCUGCUUUUGUUGGGUUCUCGAGUGGCGAACGGGUGAGUAACACGUGUGUAACCUGCCCUUUACUUUGGGAUACCUUCAGGAAACUCCGGCUAAUACCCGAUAGGAUCUCCUGCUGCACGGUGGGGGUUGGAAAGUUUCGGCGGUUGGGGCUGGAUUCGCGGCUUCUCAGCUUGUUGGUGGGGUUGUGGCUUACCAAGGCUUUGACGGGUAGCCGGCAUGAGAGGGUGACCGGCAACAAGGGGACUGAGAUAGGGCGCAGACGGCAAGGGGAGGCAGCAGGGGGGAAUAGUGCAGAAGGGGGGGAAGCGUGAUGGAGAAAAGCCGCGUGCGGGAGGAUGGCCUUGGGGUGGAAAACGGGUUAGGGCUGUGACGAAGCGUGAGUGACGGUAAUGGGUAAAGAAGCACCGGCUAACUACGUG
rnacentral:rRNA from 1 species